rnacentral:rRNA from 1 species
UACGUAGGGAGCAAGCGUUGUCCGGAUUUAUUGGGCGUAAAGGGCGCGUAGGCGGGAUGGCAAGUCGGUCGUGAAAUCCUUCGGCUCAACCGAAGAACGUCGAUCGAUACUGCUGUUCUUGAGGGUUGCAGAGGAGACUGGAAUUCCCGGUGUAGCGGUGAAAUGUGUAGAGAUCGGGAGGAACACCGGUGGCGAAGGCGGGUCUCUGGGCAAUUCCUGACGCUGAGGCGCGAAAGCGUGGGGAGCAAACGGG